GUACCUUCAAGCUUUGCUUGGUGAUGGGUGUUUGUCCAAUCUUCAGAUUAGACUCGCCUUAAAAUUAUUGGCAGCCGGCAUAUUGGCCUUUGGAGCGCAGCACAUUUUGCGAUCUAAGCCUGUAUACUGGUAUCCAUGAAGCCUCUUUAUCAC
rnacentral:misc_RNA from 1 species